GUACGAGCCUUCUCCACGGCGGAGACUGAGGGGAUUGGUUAUUAUCCUGACAUGCAGCAAUGGACUAGGUGUGAUGCACCAAAAACCUCAGCAGUGUAGUAAACAUCACGGAGCAACUUAGGUUUUGAAGUGUUGGAGCCUGGAGCCUCAGACGAUCAUGAACCAUCCAAUGAAAAUGAUGAAUUGCGUUCGUGUCCUACGAUGACAGGAUGAGUAAAUACAGCAGCCUCUGACACUCCUCCAGACGCUGCUUCUGGCCAUUUGCUUCAUCCCACAGACCUGCCUCCAUCAGCCGCUGGUCUGGCCGCAGACGACUGUCAGUAGGCGCAACACCCUCUUCUGGCUCAUUGAGAGUCAAAGCCAAGGAGGAGAAAAAAUGCAUGUUCUCUGCAUUAUCUCUGGAGAGUGAAAGAUAGAAGAGACAACACAUUAAGACAAGAGCGAGAAGAGAAACAGGAGAGGACAGAUCACAAGAGCCUCCGCAUCCCUGGCUGCUGUCCACUAUUUUGGCACUCUCCAUCUUGUCGUCCCAGGUUCCUGAUAGGAUGUACCGGGCUGUGCCCUCUCUGUCCUCUAUGACUCCUGUCACCUAGAGACACCAGAGAAGAUGACACAC